UAGUGGGGGAUAGCCCCGAAAGCCGGAUUAAUACCGCAUACGCUCUACGGAGGAAAGGGGGGGAUCUUAGGACCUCGCUACAGGGGCGGCCGAUGGCAGAUUAGCUAGUUGGUGGGGUAAAGGCCUACCAAGGACGAUCUGUAGCUGGUCUGAGAGGACGACCAGCCACACUGGGACUGAGACACGGCCCACUCCUACGGGAGGCAGCAGUGGGGAAUUUUGGACAAUGGGCGCAAGCCUGAUCCAGCUGCCGCGUGUGUGAAGAAGGCCUUCGGGUUGUAAAGCACUUUUGUCCGGAAAGAAAACCGUGGUUAAUACCCGUGGCGGAUGACGGUACCGGAAGAAUAAGCACCGGCUAACUACGCCAGCAGCCGCGGUAAUACGUAGGGUGCAAGCGUUAAUCGGAAUUACUGGGCGUAAAGUGCGCAGGCGGUCCGCUAAGACAGAUGUGAAAUCCCCGGGCUUAACCUGGGAACUGCAUGUGACUGGCGGGCUAGAGUAUGGCAGAGGGGGGUAGAAUUCCACGUGUAGCAGUGAAGCGUAGAGAUGUGGAGGAAUACCGAUGGCGAAGGCAGCCCCCUGGGCCAAUACUGACGCAUGCACGAAAGCGUGGGGAGCAAACAGGAUUAGAUACCCUGGUAGUCCACGCCCUAA
rnacentral:rRNA from 1 species